CUUUCAACCUUCCUCUUGUCUAGGUAGGGAGCACCUAGCAGAGCCUGAAUAUGUGCUGAAGCAGUCUGCCUGGCACUCCACAGGGAAUGGAGGGGAUUAAAGCUUGUUCUGAGAAUGCACACCAGCACCUCCCAGGCAACAAUUUCUUCAGAGGAGUCCUCUUUCCUCACUGUCCACAAGUCAUCCCCGCACAAGGACUGCUGACAGCCUUUCCAGACCAGCCUGGGGAACACACAGACUGCUGUGAGGAAAAGAAAUCAAAAAGUUACACCACCACCCCCCAUUCAUUGACCCUAACAAUGUACACGUAUUGUGGAGGAUCAAAGAAUAUCAUUCUUCACACCCAAAGACAUUCAUUUUCUGAAGCACAGGGCUCUGCCAUAC